rnacentral:lncRNA from 1 species
CUCCCUUACAUGGUUCUGUGAGUGGAAAAAAAUUAUAUAUUUUCAAAUAUUAAUAAGGUACUUAUUCUAUUAUAUUACGUGCGAUUAUGUGAAUUAUUUGUUCGAUUACAUGAUUAAUAUGGAAAGGUUCUUUCACUAUGAUAUACGUGGAAUUUAAAGUUUUUGAUAUGGAUUAUUUGUGAAUCGGACUACGAGACAAAUGUGAUAUUGAGAUCGACCAGAAGAAUAUCCAUGAUUAUAUAUUUCUUUUAGUUCACUGAGGGACCUUAACCGUGUUCUAUACUACAUUGAGGGAUCUUGGACCGUGGAUGAAGGGGUCUUGAUCGUGUACAUAUAGUUCACUGAAGGGCCUUAGCCAUGUUCUAAAAUUGAUUAUCAGAUGUCUUAAGACAAACUUUCGUUCACGGAGGGAGCCAAAGGCUUGUGAUGAAAGUUCUUAACCUGAGGGGCGGAUUACAAAUUUCAGUCCGAGGGUACAUUUUUGAUGAAUUUUCUAGUACAUUUGAUGUGAUGAGAUUAUAAUAUAAUUGCCAACUUAUGUUCAUAUCAUGACUUGAGAUGAUAUUUCAUGAUGUUAUGUGAAUGUCUCAAAUUUUAGCUAUAAUUAUAUAUUGUUAUCUUGUGAAUUAUUAAAUGAUAUGAACUCGAUUUCGAUAAAAUGUAUAAACGAAAAAGUAUAAUUAUUUUCAAAAACCUCCACUCACUGAGCUAUCAACUCAUGUAUUCUUUCACGAUUAUUUUUUCUAGGUAGCAAUUGAGUUUUGGCAACUUGAAGAGACUGUUGAUUUUAGAGCCACAACCAUGACAGUCUAGGUUAUUGUGCCAUUUGAAUUGGGCAUGAAAAUAUCACUUUGGGCUAACAUUCUUUUGACAUAUAAUAGGUCUUUUUUUUUUUUUUUUUUUUUUUUUUUUUUUUUUUUUUUUUUUUUUUUUUUUUUUUUUUUUUUUUUAAAGAAUGAUUGGUAAAAGGUCAAAGAUAGCCUUGUUGGUGGGUUCGGCAUCUAGCUAGAAUCAAUCAUCGGCGCACGUCACAUUUCAGAUCCACUAAAGUGAUUCAGGAUGGGUCGUGUUAGUUGUGCAUAUACUCAAAACUUGUGACUGACUUCAAAUUGCUAAUUAGAGAUUGUUAAGAUCAAUUGGAUGCGAUAAGAAGCCGAAAUGAAUGAAAUAUAAUCAAAGGAUCUUUACAAAUUAAUUUCCAACCUUAAAAGGCAUAUUGUAG